rnacentral:rRNA from 1 species
UACGAAGGGGGCUAGCGUUGCUCGGAAUCACUGGGCGUAAAGCGCACGUAGGCGGAUUGUUAAGUCAGGGGUGAAAUCCUGGAGCUCAACUCCAGAACUGCCCUUGAUACUGGCGAUCUUGAGUCCGGAAGAGGUGAGUGGAACUCCGAGUGUAGAGGUGAAAUUCGUAGAUAUUCGGAAGAACACCAGUGGCGAAGGCGGCUCACUGGUCCGGUACUGACGCCGAGGUGCGAAAGCGUGGGGAGCAAACAGG